rnacentral:lncRNA from 10 species
CGGCACCUUCCCCUUCGCUCUUCCUCCUGCUCCUGCCCUGGUAAGAAGUGCUGCUUCCCCUUUGCUUUCUGCCAUGAUUGUACGUUUCCUGAGGCCUUCCCAGCCAUGCUUCCUGUGUGGCCUGUGGAACGUCAACAGUCAUAACUUUUUGAGGACACAUGUUUAUUGCUGCUGCUGGGGGCAGCUGCUCUUGUACCCACUUUCAAAUGGGCUGUGGAAGAGACAAAGCUCAUCUGGCUGCUGGGGCAGUGGCAUCCUCAUGCAAGCUGGUCUACUGGUGGCUGCCCCUGUGACCUGCUUCUGAAUGGCCAGGCAGGAAAAGUCUCCCACUGUGUUGCAUUUAAAGAAAAGAAAAAGAUGAAUUAAGUAAAAAGCUCUGCAAACAACUGAGUGUAAUUAUUGGAUAUGUAUAAACUUAUGCAUAUUUUCCUUUUUUUAAUUAUACUUUAAGUUCUAGGGCACAUGUGCACAACGUGCAGGUUAGUUACAUAUGUAUACAUGUGCCAUGUUGGUGUGCUGCACCCAUUAACUCGUCAUUUAACAUUCGGUAUAUCUCCUAAUGCUAUCCCUCCCCCCUCCCCCCACCCCACAACAGGCCCUGGUAUGUGAUGUUCCCCUUCCUGUGUCCAUGUGUUCUCAUUGUUCAAUUCCC